rnacentral:rRNA from 1 species
UACGUAGGGUGCAAGCGUUAAUCGGAAUUACUGGGCGUAAAGGGCGCGUAGGCGGCCUGUUAAGUCGAACGUGAAAUCCCCGGGCUCAACCCGGGAACUGCGUCCGAUACUGGCAGGCUUGAGGCUAGUAGAGGUCACUGGAACUGACGGUGGAGCGGUGAAAUGCGUAGAUAUCGUCAGGAACGCCAAUGGUGAAGACAGGUGACUGGGCUAGUUCUGACACUGAGGCACGAAAGCGUGGGGAGCGAACGGG